GACAGAGGGUGCAAUCGUUGUUCGGAAUUACUGGGCGUAAAGCGUGUGUAGGCGGCUACGUAAGUCGGAUGUGAAAGCCCCAGGCUCAACCUGGGAAGUGCACUCGAUACUGCGUAGCUUGAGUAUCGGAGAGGUUGGUGGAAUUCUCGGUGUAGAGGUGAAAUUCGUAGAUAUCGAGAGGAACACCGGUGGCGAAGGCGGCCAACUGGACGAAUACUGACGCUGAGACACGAAAGCGUGGGGAGCAAACAGG
rnacentral:rRNA from 1 species